GUAGCGUGAAGGAUGACUGCCCUAUGGGUUGUAAACUUCUUUUAUACGGGAAUAAAGUGAGGCACGUGUGCCUUUUUGUAUGUACCGUAUGAAUAAGGAUCGGCUAGCUCCGUGCCAGCAGCCGCGGUAAUACGGAGGAUCCGAGCGUUAUCCGGAUUUAUUGGGUUUAAAGGGAGCGUAGGCGGACGCUUAAGUCAGUUGUGAAAGUUUGCGGCUCAACCGUAAAAUUGCAGUUGAUACUGGGUGUCUUGAGUACAGUAGAGGCAGGCGGAAUUCGUGGUGUAGCGGUGAAAUGCUUAGAUAUCACGAAGAACUCCGAUUGCGAAGGCAGCUUGCUGGACUGUAACUGACGCUGAUGCUCGAAAGUGUGGGUAUCAAACAGGAUUAGAUACCCUGGUAGUCCACACAGUAAACGAUGAAUACUCGCUGUUUGCGAUAUACAGUAAGCGGCCAAGCGAAAGCGUUAAGUAUUCCACCUGGGGAGUACG
rnacentral:rRNA from 1 species